rnacentral:tRNA from 2 species
GAACCCGAGACUGCCCUCCGGAGGCAGAGGUCACAGGUUCGACUCCUGUCGGGUGCG